UCUUAUGGAUGAGCGAUGAAAGUGGUUUAUUGAAAUGGAAUCUACUCCUGUUGAAGAUGCCGUGAA
rnacentral:pre_miRNA from 1 species